rnacentral:lncRNA from 1 species
CCAAGCGCCGCCUGCCGACUGCCGUCCGCCUGUCCUGCCGAACAGCUGAAGUGCCGAGUCACCGCCUGGGGCCUGGGCGCCUGGCGGACACCGUGUGCCACCGCGCCGCCGUCGCCUGCCGUCCUGCGAAGGUUUGGAAGAGAUCAAAAGAGAUCAAGUUAUCAGGCUUCAGUUUCACUUUCAUUCAAUUGUUUUUUUUUCACAGUAGUGCAGAGUUUGUCCAAUCUUAUUACUAUCUUCAGUGUUCAGUCCUAGACCAAAAAACCUUUUUUUAUUAUUCUUUUCACACACAGCUGCCCCAUUUAUUUACUAAGUUUGGUAUUGCCUCUGUUUUUUAUUUUUCCCUAACUACUCACGGCUCAUUUGCAGGAAACCAAAAACCGACACUAUAUGAGCUGGAAAUACAAGAGGCACAUCCCACUGCUAGCACUUCUGUAUUGAUCAUGUUCAUCUGGAACGAAAUAAUACUCGGUGACUUCACAGCGACUGCAUGUGCCAUCGGCCAAACUAGGUGGUCAUCGUGUUCGGUUUUUCGGUUAAACCGAAAACCG